rnacentral:lncRNA from 1 species
CAUAAAACACUUCACACAGCAGACUGACACACUGCUGUAACAUGCAAAUAGUCAUAUACACAUGAAAACACUUCACACAGCACCCUGACACCCUGCUAUAACAUGCAAAUAGUCAUAUACACAUGAAAACACUUCACACAGCACAGCGACACAUGGCUUUAACACGCAAAUAGUCAUAUACACAUGAAAACACACAGCACACUGACACGCUGCUAUAACAAAUAGUCAUAUACACAAAAACACUUCACACAGCACACUGACACGCUAUUACACGUAGAUAGAUACACGAAAACACUUCACACAGCACACUGACACACUGCUGUAACAUGCAAAUAGUCAUAUACACAUGAAAAUACUUCACACAGCACCCUGACACCCUGCUAUAACAUGCAAAUAGUCAUAUACACAUGAAAACACUUCACACAGCACCCUGACACCCUGCUAUAACAUGCAAAUAGUCAUAUACACAUGAAAACACUUCACACAG